AUGCCGCCGUCGAGCCGCCCGAGGGAGCCGCUCUCCCUCUCGCUCCCGGGCGCCGGCGGCCGCUCGCAGGACUUCCCCUCGCUCUUCUCCGACCUCACCUCGCUCCUCCUCCACCACUCCCCCGCCGCCGCCGCCACCCCCCACGGCCGCGCCCCGGUCUUCUCCUCCUCCACGCUCUCCAUCCCCGCCCCCGCCGCCCCGGCGCAGGCGCAGGCGCAGUCCCAGCCGCAGGCGCCGACGCCGCUGGAGCGGGCGGCCAUCGGGGCGUGCGCGGGGGCGGCGGCGGGGGCCUUCACCUACGCGGCGCUGCUGCCGCUCGACGCCGUCAAGACGCGGCUCCAGGCGGGGGCCGCCUCGCGCGGCUCCUGGCAGGUGUUCGCCGACAUCCUCCGCGCCGACGGCCCCCUCGGCCUCUACCGGGGCCUCUCCGCCGUCAUCCUCGGCUCCGCCACCUCCUCCGCCAUCUACUUCGGCACCUGCGAGCUCGCCAAGUCGCUGCUGCGCCCGCACCUCCCCCCGUUCCUCGUGCCCCCGCUCGCCGGCGCCAGCGGCAACAUCUCCUCCUCGGCCAUCAUGGUGCCCAAGGAGCUCAUCACGCAGCGCCUCCAGUCGGGCGCCGCCACGGGCCGCUCCUGGCAGGUGCUGCUCCAGAUCCUCCAGGCCGACGGCUUCUUCGGCCUCUACGCGGGGUACGCAGCCACCCUGCUCCGGAACCUCCCCGCCGGCGUGCUCAGCUACUCCUCCUUCGAGUACCUCAAGGCCUUCGCCCUCAGCAAGAGCAACGCCGCCAACCUGACGCCGGGGGAGAGCGUGCUGUGCGGCGCGCUCGCCGGCGCGAUAUCCGCGGGGCUCACCACCCCGCUCGACGUCGUCAAGACCCGGCUGAUGACCAGGGUGGGCGCCGCCCAGGGGAGCCGCACGGUGGUGGGCACCAUGCAGGAGGUCAUCGCCGAGGAAGGCCUGAUGGGUCUGUCCCGGGGGAUCGGACCGAGGGUCCUGCACAGCGCCUGCUUCGCUGCGAUUGGCUACUGCGCCUUCGAGACGGCCAGGCUCAUGAUCCUCAAGUCAUACCUUGAAUCGUGCGAGAGGAAGGCCGCUGCCGAGACCAAGACCGGAGUUGCCGCUGCCUGA
rnacentral:rRNA from 1 species